rnacentral:rRNA from 1 species
GACGUAGGGCGAGAGCGUUGUCCGGAUUUAUUGGGCGUAAAGAGCUCGUAGGCGGCUCGUUGCGUCGGCUGUGAAAACCCGCAGCUCAACUGUGGGCUUGCAGCCGAUACGGGCGGGCUGGGAUUCGGUAGGGGAGACUGGAAUUCCUGGUGUAGCGGUGAAAUGCGCAGAUAUCAGGAGGAACACCGGUGGCGAAGGCGAGUCCCUGGACAACACCUGACACUGAGGCACGAAAGCUAGGGGAGCAAACAGG